GUGAUGCCCAGCUUGCUGGGUGGAUCAGUGGCGAACGGGUGAGUAACACGUGAGCAACCUGCCCCCUACUUCGGGAUAAGCCUUGGAAACGGGGUCUAAUACCGGAUAUGAGCACUCACUGCAUGGUGGGUGUUGGAAAGUUUUUCGGUGGGGGAUGGGCUCGCGGCCUAUCAGCUUGUUGGUGGGGUAAUGGCCUACCAAGGCGUCGACGGGUAGCCGGCCUGAGAGGGCGACCGGCCACACUGGGACUGAGACACGGCCCAGACUCCUACGGGAGGCAGCAGUGGGGAAUAUUGCACAAUGGGCGAAAGCCUGAUGCAGCGACGCCGCGUGAGGGAUGACGGCCUUCGGGUUGUAAACCUCUUUCAGCAGGGAAGAAGCGCAAGUGACGGUACCUGCAGAAGAAGCGCCGGCUAACUACGUGCCAGCAGCCGCGGUAAUACGUAGGGCGCAAGCGUUGUCCGGAAUUAUUGGGCGUAAAGAGCUCGUAGGCGGUCUGUCGCGUCUGGUGUGAAAUCCCAUGGCUCAACUGUGGGCUUGCAUCGGGUACGGGCAGACUAGAGUGCUGUAGGGGAGACUGGAAUUCCUGGUGUAGCGGUGGAAUGCGCAGAUAUCAGGAGGAACACCGAUGGCGAAGGCAGGUCUCUGGGCAGUUACUGACGCUGAGGAGCGAAAGCAUGGGGAGCGAACAGGAUUAGAUACCCUGGUAGUCCAUGCCGUAAACGUUGGGCACUAGGUGUGGGGCCAGUUCCACUGGUUCUGUGCCGC
rnacentral:rRNA from 1 species